CUUGCUGAGGAAUCUAAAGCAAGAGGUACAUCUGAAGAAAUGAUCUCAACUCUCCAUCAGCUGUCAUCAGAAGCAGAGAAUGCGCAACAAGAAGCUGUAGAAAUGAAGCACAGGGCUGAGGAGUUGAAGAAGGAAGCUGAAGCAGCCAGGAUUGAACUUGAAGAAGCAGAGAAGAAGUUGAGUGUUGCUCUGGAAGAAGCUGAGGAAGCAAAGACAGCACAAUCAGAUCAAGAUGUUGUCUGAGAAAACUAAUGCUGCUCGUGCUUCAACUUCGGAGUCUGGUGCCAAUAUCACAAUCUCCAGAGAGGAGUAUGAGGCUCUGAGCCGGAAAGUUGAGGAGUCUGACACUUUGGCAGAAAUGAAAGUGGCAGCAGCCAUGGCUCAGGGAGAAGCUGUAAAGG
rnacentral:misc_RNA from 1 species